GGUUUACGAGAUUCCGCAACAGGGGAUCAGCAAAAUGUUUACAGCGAGUUUAAAGAACAGCUAACGAGAAGCGAGGAGGGCUGGUACGAGACCAGUUUGCCGUUGAAGGGAAACCAUCCCCCCUUACCCAACAACAAAUCCGGCAGUUUAAAACGUCUAGAUAACCUAAUAAAAAAAUUGGAAAAACAGAACAUUAUCGAACAGUAUGACGAGAUUAUCAAAGAGCAGAUCAAGGAAGGGAUCGUAGAAAAGAUCGAUACGGAAGCACAAGAUAGAGAGUUCUACUUACCCCAUAAAGCAGUGAUUAGAGAAUCAGCA